rnacentral:rRNA from 1 species
GACGAACGCUGGCGGCGUGCUUAACACAUGCAAGUCGAACGAUGAACCAGGGCUUGCCCUGGGGAUUAGUGGCGAACGGGUGAGUAACACGUGGGCAACCUGCCCCAGACACCGGGAUAACCAUUCGAAAGAGUGGCUAAUACCGGAUACGACCACUUUGGGCAUCCAACGGUGGUGGAAAGGAUUCUGGUCUGGGAUGGGCCCGCGGCCUAUCAGCUUGUUGGUGGGGUAAUGGCCUACCAAGGCGACGACGGGUAGCCGGCCUGAGAGGGCGCCCGGCCACACUGGGACUGAGACACGGCCCAGACUCCUACGGGAGGCAGCAGUGGGGAAUAUUGCGCAAUGGGCGAAAGCCUGACGCAGCGACGCCGCGUGAGGGACGAAGGUCUUCGGAUUGUAAACCUCUUUCAGCAGGGACGAAGCGAAAGUGACUGUACCUGCAGAAGAAGCACCGGCUAACUACGUGCCAGCCGCCGCGGUAACAC